UUUAUUGCUGGAAGAUGGCCUCGCGUCCAAUUAGCUAGUUGGCGGGGUAAAUGCCCACCAAGGCGACGAUUGGUAGCCGGACUGAGAGGUUGAACGGCCACAUUGGGACUGAGACACGGCCCAGACUCCUACGGGAGGCAGCAGUGGGGAAUAUUGCACAAUGGGGGAAACCCUGAUGCAGCAACGCCGCGUGAAGGAUGAAGGUUUUCGGAUUGUAAACUUCUUUUAUUCGGGACGAAGAAAGUGACGGUACCGAAUGAAUAAGCCACGGCUAACUAC
rnacentral:rRNA from 1 species